GCGACCCCAGGAUGGGCG
rnacentral:rRNA from 170 species